GAUGCAUUGAAAAGUGUUGAGGAGGCUGUAAAUAGACGCCUCACAAAUUUUUAUCUUUGGCAUAUAACGCAUGAUCAUAUAACGCUUGGCCAACCACUUCACACACUCUGCAAGUCUAAUUUAUGCAAAUUAUGGUACCACCCACUUAGUAAAGGACUGUGGCUAAUCUGCAUAUGCACAUUAGCUCUAUUACCUAUUAGCGUACAAAAAGGGCCUGGAAGUAGGAAAAGAACUACAUUUCCUAUCUGCCCUGGCUGUCACAGGCUAAUAGCACCAGCUGCUUUCCAUUGCCCUAAUGAGUGAUUCUACUGCUGCAACGAGACCAAAUGCAAUGAAAGAUUCUUACUGAGGUGCUGUUUUCCACAUGCAGUGCUUGGCUGUGUUGGAGGCCACCAAGAAAGACUUCCUGGCUGUCAUGUGGAAGCUAAGUGGGCUGGGGUCAAAAGGGUUUCUGGCCAUGGUGCUUGUGCUGCAGUGAUCUUGUUCUCCAUCACACUCCAACACAGGUAGCCAUCUUCACCCUCUCCCAAGAGGUGAUGGUACGACUCUGAAUAAACACUCUAUUAUUAUAAAUAAAGUGUGACUGUGUCUUGUAGUCCACCCACCAACCUUUUUCUGUUCAGUGGUUUGACUUGUGCUACACAGAGGUGAGUCCAGUUAUGCUGCAAGAAGUGUAAGUAUGAUGGGGUUGACGAGUGGGAGGAGAGGUUCUUCCUGUGCAAGAUGGACCAGCAAACAGAUUUAAAGGCUGUUGUGAAUGAUGGGUUACAGAAAUGUCUUCCUGUGUUUAUUAUUAUUUGAAGUUAUAUAUUCUGAUUUGUAAGCAAGAUUAUGAAGUCUCCUUUUGCUAAUCAUUUUACAGCAUUAUUAAAAAGUCCAUGUACACAAUGUU